rnacentral:piRNA from 1 species
UAGACUGUUUUUGUAUACCUCAAACUAUGG